GGCAGAGAAGCUGUUGGUAAUGAAACAGCUGACGCUAAGACAAGAGACUGGGUCGCGGGAUUGUGGAGAUUGACUUGUCCAAGUAGCACAAGUGGGUGUGAUGAUCCGUGGAUUAAUCCUGUCGUUGCGGGUUCGGACCUAGCGAGCCUGGGAUGCGCCAGGAUGCUGGUAUUUGUUGCGGAGAAUGAUUUUCUGAGAUCUAGAGGAUGGUUUUAUUAUGACAAGUUGAAGGAGAGCGGGUGGAGGGGCAAUGUGGAGAUUGUUGAGUCCAAAGGAGAGCAACAUGUGUUCCAUUUGAUAAAUCCCACAUGUGAAAAUGCCGUGGCCAUGCUUGAGAGAAUUGCUUCUUUCUUGAAUCAUCAGGAGAAGGCCUGAAUUCAUAUGCCUCUAACUAUAUUUAUAAUUUUCGAUUUCCUUUUUUUCUCCAUUUUUUUUUUCUGUCAGCUGCUAUUUUUACGGGAAUAUAUAUAUAUAUUUACCAACUUCAACCGUCCAAAUGAAAUCUAUUAAUUAAAAAAAGUAUGACAAUUCUCAGAAAAUCAAUUGAACACAGAAAUUAAUAUUGAGUUGGACUAUUGCCAUCCCUCGAAUGCCCCUCGUACAACCAUUUUUAAGAAUAAUCUCUAUUUAAUUCCACAAAUAACCUUCCAAUUAUUUUUCUCAAGAAAAUUUAAGUGAACCUCAUCUCUCUCUCUACGAAACUCUUCUAAACUCAAAGACAUUUUUCUUUCAUUUUAAAUUUAUAGUGAUUGCACUUAUUCAACACCGCAAGCUCAGAGCGUGAACUUAUCAAAUUCAGUUUUGGAGGGAUUUCUUUGCACACGACUAAAUCCAUAUUUUUAUUCUUUGAACAAGAAUAAGACUUUUUUUUCUUUUUCUUUUUUAUCAGGAACAAUUGUAUACUUUUAUGGUGCGUUUACUUAAUGGGAAUGCGAAUGGGGUGGAAUGAGAAUAGGUUGUGAAUGAGAAUGAGUUGGAUGAGAAUGAGGAAUAAGAAUGAGAUCUCAAUGUUUACUGUGGCAAAAAUAAAUGGGAAUGUGGAAUGUGCUGGAAAUGCUAUUGAUGUGUUUACUUGGCCAAAAUAAAUGGGGAAUGAGGGAGUGAAAAUGAAGAAUCAAUUUACCAAAAUACCCAUAGGUAUUAAAUAAUUAAUAAAAAAUAAUUAAUUUAUCAUUAUUAACAAUAUUAUCAUUAUUGUUUUUUGUUGUUGUUGUUGUUGUUAUUAUUAUUAUUAUUAUUAUUAUUAUUAUUAUUAUUAUUCUUAUUAAAAAUAAUUUUGUUAUUCAAUUUUAUUAACUUUAUUAUUUUAGUUAUUAUUAAUUAUUAUUAUUUUUUAUUAAUAUUAUCAUUAUUAACAUUUAUUAUUAUUAAUAUUAUUAUUAACUUUAUUAUAUUAUUUAUUAUUAAUUAUUGUUAUUACUAUUUUUAUUAAUAUUAUCAUUAUUAACAUUUAUUAUUAUUAAAUUUAAAUUUUAUUAACUUUAUUAUUUUAGUUAUUAUUAAUUAUUGUUAUUAUUAUUUUUAUUAAUAACAAUGAUAAAUGUUAAUAAUGAUAAUAUUAAUAAAAAUAAUAAUAACAAUAAUUAAUAAUAACUAAAAUAAUAAAGUUAAUAAAAUUUAAUAAUAAUAACAAUAACAACAAUAAGGAUAAUAUUGUUAAUAAUGAUAAAUUAAUUAUUUUUAUUAAUUAUUAUUUUUAUCAUUAUUUUAUUGUUAAUAAAAUAUUAAAUAAUUUGGUUGUUGAUCAGAAGGAUAAUUUGCAUGCCACUUAUUCAAGAGAUGUGGAGCCAAGCCAAAUCAGAGUUGGUGAGAAAUAAAGAGCGUGGUUUAGAUAAAUCCACAAAGAAGGCAGUCUUUACCAAACAAAAUUUUCUACUAUCUUCAACAAAAACUGAUACCAUUUUUAAAAUUACAGUUUUAGUUAUGAUAAUUUAAGAAUUAAAAUCUUACCAAUCCUCAUAUUAUCUUGUCCCAAAAAACAAAAACAAAAAAUUGAAAGAGAGUGGUUUGGCACUUACAAAACUAUUACAAGGUGACGUGUCAAUAAUCAACUCUACUAACUCUUUUAAUUUGCUCAAUUAUUGUUAAUUAUUUAAUUAUAUAUUUCACUUCAUAACUCCUUUUUCAUUUUUUUCUGAAUUGAGUUAUCGUAACAUUUGUCUUGAUUUACAUGGGCCUAAUUGUAUUUGUUUGAACACCAAUUUUGGCCCUUUAUCAAUUUUUUUUUUAAAAUUGUAACGUUAUCCACUCUUGCUGUCUUCCACAUUUGUCUUCAUCUCUAUAUUUUUUUUUUGCACCAUUAUCCUCUCUCCUUCUCCGGCAGACCAAACAAAGCCCGUCAAUAUUUUUCUGCACUUUUUCUCUACCCAUGUAUUCCACAGAGCCGGCAGCAGAUAUAGCCAUAGAAGUUGGAAUUUGAAGAUCGAAUGAAGAAGAAAAAGAGAAAUUGUCUUCCAAUUAUUAAUGCAAAAUCAAAUUACAGAAAUGAGCUCAGCUUAGUAUUUAUAGUGGAAUCUAAUACUUGCUGAGUACUCUAAUUACAGCUAAGCAAUGUAACUAAUGAGUAACUAACUCUGAUCUAACUACAUUCAAUACAACUCAUAAGUACUGAUUUGUUAACUAAUUGCUGCAUAAUCCAACUGCAUGGGAAUCUCUUCAUAACAGUUUUGCCAUCUGGAGCUUCCCAACUUCUCACGUGUGCCUUUCUCUUUCAUUUCCAGACUAGCUACUAGAUUUACAGCUGGCUUGAUUCCAGCUGGCACUCCAACGUGUGUUGCAUUUGAUUCAGCUUCAUCAGCUAAUUCAACACCCCUUCUCAAACUUAAGUCCUUUGGAAAGACUUUAAGUUUGCUUCUGAAGAAGCUGAAUUUAGGAUAUGUAAGAGGUUUAGUUAAUAUAUCAGCAACUUGAUCAUUUGUAGACACAAAAGCAAUGUCAACCUCUUUCCUCUCAACUUUGUCUCUCACAAAGUGAAUAUCUAUUUCAAUAUGUUUAGUCUUAGAAUGCAUUACUGGAUUUGUGGCUAUAGCAGCUGCACUUGUGCUGUCACUUAGUAGUAGUGGAGUACUCUGAAGUCUGAUGUCAAGUUCCUUAAGAAUUGAGCAGAUCCAAGUUAACUCUGAGCAAGCCAAAGCCAUAGCUCUGUAUUCUGACUCAGCUGAUGAUUUGGAAAUUAUGCUCUGCUUCUUUGAACUCCAGCUGAUUAAAUUUUCACCUAGAAAAACACAGUAGCCACUAGUUGAUCUUCUGUCGUCAAUGUCACUACCCCAAUCUGCAUCAGUAUACAUUACAAGAUCUAGAGAAUCAGAUCUCUUGAAAGUUAAGCCAUAAUGUAUGGUUUCCUUGAGAUACCUCAGUACUCGUUUGCAAGCAAGCCAGUGAGGUUGUAAAGGGUUAGCCAUGAAUUGACUUAGCUUGUUUACAGCAUAAGCAAUUUCAGGCCUUGUUAGCACUGCAUACUGUAAUCCUCCAAUGGCUUUCCUGUAUUGAGUUGCAUUUGUAAAAUCUUCACCCAUGUUUUUGCUAAGCUUUUCUGUUGUGGCCAGAGGAGUAUCAGUUCCAUUGCAUUCUUUCAAUUCAAACUUGGCAAGUAGAUCUUUUAUGUACUUUGACUGGGAUAGUACUAAGGUAUCAUCAUUUCUAAUCACUUCUAUGCCAAGAAAGAAAUUAAGAUUCCCCAAAUCUUUAAGAGCAAAGGUGCUGCUAAGGUUACUGAUAAGCUGUUCUAUUUCAGCAUUAUUGUUUCCAGUCACUAUUAUAUCAUCAACAUAAAUCAACAGCAUAAUCACAUCAUUCCCAUUUCUUUUAAAAAAUAAAGAUGUGUCUGAUCUUGUUCUAGUAAAUUUCCAAGACUCCAGAACUGACCUGAGUUUAUCAAACCAUGCUCUUGGUGCCUGCUUCAAUCCAUAGAGUGCCUUUGUUAGCUUACACACAUGAUCUGGAUGCUCUGAAUUUUCAAAACCUUCUGGCUGAGGCAUGUAAACAGUUUCACUUAGUUCCCCAUUGAGAAAAGCAUUGUUGAUAUCUACUUGUCUCAGCUUCCAGUUGUUUAUGACAGCAAGACUUAAUAUAAUCCUUAUGGUUGCUGCCUUGACAACAGGACUGAAAGUUUCUUGAUAAUCAACCCCUUCUGUUUGUAAAAACCCCUUUGCCACCAAACGAGCUUUGUAUUUGUUGAUAGAUCCAUCUAAAUUCUGUUUCACUCGAUAGAUCCAUUUGUUCCCAACCAACUUCAUAUUUUGUUGAGGAGGAACUAAACACCAUGUCUGAUUUCUCAUUAAAGCACUGAACUCUUCCUGCAUUGCUUGUUUCCACUGAUGAUUAUUCAAAGCUUCAGCUACACUUGAAGGUGUGUCAAGAGACAGGGACUUUUCAGUGUUGUACAGUUUUGGUUUGAAUAUGCCAUUUUUGGCUCUAGUUGUCAUAGGAUGUGAAGGUCCAGGUUGAUAUGUAGGCUGAGGUGUUUCUGGAAUGUGAGUGUUUGGUUCAGAAUUAUUUGAGAAAGAAAUUUGUGGGGACUCAGGUGUGCUGAUUUCAUUGUCAUGCAUUGAAUUUAUUUGAUCAAUGUUGUUGUCAGGAUUUUGUUCAUUAGAGGGAUCAUCUAAGUUAGUUGUGUCUUCUAAUGAACUUAUACUUGCUGCUGUUCCCUCAUAAUUUUGGGUUUCUGAAGGAAAUGAUAUUGAGAUAAACUUGCUAAAUGUGUUUGCAGGUUCUGGUGUAUGAGUGGACUUUGAGACUAUGAAACUUGGAUCAUUUUGGAAGGGGAAAGAAUUCUCAUUAAAGUUGACAUGUGCAGCAAUAUAAAUUCUGCCAUUUGGAUUUAGACACAGAUAACCCUUGUGCAAGUUACUGAAACCUAAAUAAACACAUUUUGAGGUAUGAAAAUCAAACUUAUGACUAUUAUAUGGUCUUAGGAAAGGGUAACAUUCACAACCAAAGGUCUUGAUUUGAGAAUAACUUGGUUUCUUAGAAUAAAGGGCCUCAAAAGGUGUUUUGUGGUUCAAUGUGGGUGUACUGAUUCGGUUGACAAGAUAAGUAGCAUUAUAGAAUGCUUCCCACCAAAACUUAAGAGGUAUAUUAGCUUGAGCAAGGAGUGUCAAUCCAGUUUCAACAAGGUGUCUGUGUUUCCUCUCAGCCUUUCCAUUUUGGUGAUGUGUAUAAGGGCAGGAAUAUCUUAUAGCUAUUCCUUCAUUUCUGAGAUAAGGUUCAAAGGCUCUGUAUUCCCCUCCCAUGUCACACUGAAGUGUUUUAAUUUUCAGCUCUAGGCUUUUUUUAAUUUGAUUUUUAAAGAUAAUGAAAGCUGACAGUGCUUGAGAUUUACUAGCUAAUCCAUAAAUCCAGGUGUAGUUUGUUUUGUCAUCAAUGAAAGCAAUGUAAUAUUUGAACCCUUGGUUUGAAAUGGUUGGUGCUGGACCCCAAAGAUCACUAUGAAUAAUCUCAAGAGCAGUAGAUGAUUUUGAUUCACUACUUUUGAAAGACAAUCUGUGCAUCUUCCCAUAUUGACAGGCUUUGCAAAAUGACAACUCAGACAUUUUAUUACCAAACGAAAUAUUACAAGCUGACAAUGUUUUCUUAAGAUCAGAAACAUUUGGAUGACCUAAUCUUAUGUGCCAAAGAUCAAGAGUUUUGUUGAUUCUUUGGUCUUUACAGCUUGUACAAAAUUCUUUAGAAACAACAGACAUCAUAGACUCAGGUUUAUUUAUUUUACAAACUGAAAGUAGACUAGAAUGUGAAACUGAAGAUAACAAAACGGACUUGAUUUGAGAGUGGUUUAGAGGCAAGUUCAGCAGCUUGUACAGUCCAUCUUUAGCCACACCUUUCAUGAGAACAAUCCCCCUUCUCUUGUCCUUAACAACACAAUAUGUUUUAUCAAAUUCAAUGCAUACAUUGUUAUCUUUCAAGAGUUUGGAUAUGCUAAUUAGAUUUUUGGUUAUUUGUGGUACAAAGAGAAUCUGAUUUAGUUUAAUGUAUUUCUGGAUAUCAGGUUCAAGUGUGCCAAGCAAUGAAUAACCAACAGAAACAAUUUCAAGUUUUGAACCAUUACCUACUGCAAGCUAGUGAUUUCCUUUGUACUCAGAAUUUAUGCUUAAGUUGUUGAGAUCAUUAGUGACAUGAUCUGUUGCCCCGCUGUCAAGAUACCAGCCACCACUUUUUGUUUCUGCACCUUCAGCUACAUAAGCACUUCUUUUGUUCCCUGGAAAAUUAGGCACAUAGUUUUUCUUGAACCUAUACCAGCAGUUUACAGCAGUGUGAUUCUUCCUGAAGCAGAUCUGACAUGGUCCUUUAGGUGUUUCUUCAUCAAUGUGAGCUUUUCCUUUCAUUUUCUCCUGUGCUGGAUUAAAAUUGCCUCCACCAGAAUUACCUCCAUAUUGCCUUCCAUUCUGAUUGGUAACAUUUCCAGUGUUAUUGAAAUUUGGUUGCCAAUUUCUCCUCUGGUUUCCCCUGUAGUAAGCAAUGUUUGCCUGAAAAUCCAUUCCACUAACAGAAUUCUGAUGUUCGAUCCUGUUUUCUUGGCUCAACAGCAUGCCAUAAACCUCUGAUGGAGUUAUGCUUUCUGAUCUAGCAUUUAUUGUAGCAACAAUCGGAUCAUACUCAGGUCCAAGCCCAGCAAGUAAACACAACACAAAAUCAUCAUUACUCAUAUGAUUUCCGGCAGCUCUCAGUGAAUCCAGAUUCACCUUCAUCUUAAUAUAAUAUUCAUGAAUGCUCAUCGAUCCCUUUCUAGUUGUCUGGAUCUGAGUUCUUAAGUGAAGAACUCUUGAUCGAGACCUAGCACCAAACUGUUCAGAAAGUGUUUGCCAUACCUCUAGAGAUGAGCUUGCUCCAAUGACAGCACUUAACACUUCUUCACUCAGAGUUGAAAGCAGCCAGCUCAUGAGUUGUUGAUCAACUUUUCUCCAGAUCUGAAACUGCGGAUUUACCACAGUGAUCACAGUUUGAUCGCUAUCGACAUUAACAAUCAUUCUACUUGGAGGAUUCUUAGUAUUAUCAAUCAGAUCUUCAAGCUCGUUUGCAUUGAUCGUAGCAAUAACUUGAGAUCGCCAUAGCAGGUAAUUGUUGUUUGUAAGCUUGAUCGGAGUAUUGAAAAUCAGAGAGUUAACUGAUGUGUUGUUGAUUGAGUUUGUGAUUGGAUUUGCAGUUGAGCUUGAAGCUCGAGUGCUUGUAGCUUGAAAUUCAUUGUUUGCCAUUUUUAACCACAAGCUCUGAUACCAAGUUGGAAUUUGAAGAUCGAAUGAAGAAGAAAAAGAGAAAUUGUCUUCCAAUUAUUAAUGCAAAAUCAAAUUACAGAAAUGAGCUCAGCUUAGUAUUUAUAGUGGAAUCUAAUACUUGCUGAGUACUCUAAUUACAGCUAAGCAAUGUAACUAAUGAGUAACUAACUCUGAUCUAACUACAUUCAAUACAACUCAUAAGUACUGAUUUGUUAACUAAUUGCUGCAUAAUCCAACUGCAUGGGAAUCUCUUCAUAACAGUUUUGCCAUCUGGAGCUUCCCAACUUCUCACGUGUGCCUUUCUCUUUCAUUUCCAGACUAGCUACUAGAUUUACAGCUGGCUUGAUUCCAGCUGGCACUCCAACGUGUGUUGCAUUUGAUUCAGCUUCAUCAGCUAAUUCAACAAUAGACCUCUCUCCCACGAUAAAAGUAUACAAAGAUGGCAAAGUAGAAAGGCUCAAAGGAAACGACAUCGUUCCUGCAUCGUUUGAUCCCAAAACACCUUAGUCUCUGAAGCUAACGUCAUCGCAGUCUCGGUUGAUUAUCGGAGAGCGCCGGAGAAUCCUGUCCCUUGCGCUCAUGAUGAUUCAUGGACUGCACUCAAGUGGGUAUCUUCCCAUGUUAACGGAGAAGGCCCUGAAGAUUGGCUCAACUGUUUCGCUGAUUUCCAGCGAGUGUUUUGUUCUGGUGACAGUGCUGGCGCUAACAUAGCUCAUCACAUGGGCAUGAGACAUGGUCGAGAAAUUCUCGAUGGUGUUAAUGUUAUUGGCAUUGUUUUAAUUCAUCCGUAUUUUCUGGGCAGAGAAGCUGUUGGUAAUGAAACAGCUGACGCUAAGAAAAGUGACUGGGUCGCGGGAUUAUGGAGAUUGACUUGUCCAAGUAGCACAAGUGGGUGUGAUGAUCCGUGGAUUAAUCCUGUCGUUGCGGGUUCGGACCUAGCGAGCCUGGGAUGCGCCAGGAUGCUGGUAUUUGUUGCGGAGAAUGAUUUUCUGAGAUCUAGAGGAUGGUUUUAUUAUGACAAGUUGAAGGAGAGGGGGUGGAGGGGCAAUGUGGAGAUUGUUGAGUCCAAAGG
rnacentral:lncRNA from 1 species